UACGUAGGGGGCGAGCGUUGUCCGGAUUUACUGGGCGUAAAGGGCGUGCAGGCGGUUUGUUAAGUGCAGGGUGAAAGCUCCCGGCUCAACUGGGAGAGGUCCUUGCAUACUGGCGAACUCGAGGGAGGCAGAGGAAAGUGGAAUUCCCGGUGUAGUGGUGAUAUGCGUAGAUAUCGGGAGGAACACCUGUGGCGAAGGCGGCUUUCUGGGCUGAAACUGACGCUGAGGCGCGAAGGCUAGGGUAGCAAACAGG
rnacentral:rRNA from 1 species